rnacentral:rRNA from 1 species
UACGUAGGGACCGAGCGUUGUCCGGAUUUAUUGGGCGUAAAGAGCGUGUAGGCGGCCAUACAGGUCCGUUGUGAAAACUCGAGGCUCAACCUCGAGACGUCGAUGGAAACCGUAUGGCUAGAGUCCGGAAGAGGAGAGUGGAAUUCCGUGGUGUAGCGGUGAAAUGCGCAGAUAUCAGGAAGAACACCCGUGGCGAAGGCGGCUCUCUGGGACGGUACUGACGCUGAGACGCGAAAGCGUGGGGAGCGAACAGG